UACCUUUGUGUUUGAGGGCACCUAUGAAAAGGAUGAAAAGUGAAAAGGCAGCUGGUCCAGAUGACAUUCCAGUGGAGGCAUGGAAUGUCUAGGAGAGAUGGCAGGGAAGUUUCUAAUCAGAUUGUUUAAUAAAAUCUUGGAAAGUGAGAUGAUGCCUGAGGAGUGGAGAUGACGUGUGCUGGUACCUAUUUUUAAGCACAAGGGUGAUGUGCAGAGCUGCAGUAACUACAAAGGCAUAAAGUUGAUCGGCCACAGCAUGGAGUUAUGGGAAA